rnacentral:rRNA from 1 species
AGCGGUAGAGAGAAGCUUGCUUCUCUUGAGAGCGGCGGACGGGUGAGUAAUGCCUAGGAAUCUGCCUGGUAGUGGGGGAUAACGUUCGGAGACGGACGCUAAUACCGCAUACGUCCUACGGGAGAAAGCAGGGGACCUUCGGGCCUUGCGCUAUCAGAUGAGCCUAGGUCGGAUUAGCUAGUUGGUGGGGUAAUGGCUCACCAAGGCGACGAUCCGUAACUGGUCUGAGAGGAUGAUCAGUCACACUGGAACUGAGACACGGUCCAGACUCCUACGGGAGGCAGCAGCGGGGAAUAUUGGACAAUGGGCGAAAGCCUGAUCCAGCCAUGCCGCGUGUGUGAAGAAGGUCUUCGGAUUGUAAAGCACUUUAAGUUGGGAGGAAGGGUUGUAGAUUAAUACUCUGCAAUUUUGACGUUACCGACAGAAUAAGCACCGGCUAACUCUGUGCCAGCAGCCGCGGUAAUACAGAGGGUGCAAGCGUUAAUCGGAAUUACUGGGCGUAAAGCGCGCGUAGGUGGUUAGUUAAGUUGGAUGUGAAAUCCCCGGGCUCAACCUGGGAACUGCAUUCAAAACUGACUGACUAGAGUAU